AGCGGCGGAUGCCGGAUUAGCUAGUUGGUGGGGUAAAGGCCUACCAAGGCGACGAUCAGUAGUUGGUCUGAGAGGACGACCAGCCACACUGGGACUGAGACACGGCCCAGACUCCUACGGGAGGCAGCAGUGGGGAAUUUUGGACAAUGGGCGCAAGCCUGAUCCAGCCAUGCCGCGUGAGUGAAGAAGGCCUUCGGGUUGUAAAGCUCUUUCAGCCGGAAAGAAAUGGUCCGGACUAAUAAUUCCGAUUGAUGACGGUACCGAAAGAAGAAGCACCGGCUAACUACGUGCCAGCAGCCGCGGUAAUACGUAGGGUGCGAGCGUUAAUCGGAAUUACUGGGCGUAAAGGGUGCGCAGGCGGCUUUGUAAGUCAGAUGUGAAAUCCCCGGGCUUAACCUGGGAACUGCGUUUGAAACUACAAAGCUAGAGU
rnacentral:rRNA from 1 species